CAAAGAUUUGGUCCUAAUCUUAAUGUUACUUUUUACUAGACAUACACAUGUGAGUAUCUGCACACCAGUGAAAAUGCCCUAAAAGUCAUAUUUAAUUAGACGAAGGAGCCGGUAUCAGGCACACCUUGAUUUAGCCCAAGACACCUUGCUCUGCCACACCCCCACGGGUAUACAACAGUGAUUAACCUUAAGCAAUAAGCACAAGCUUGACUUAGUUAUAGUAACCUCGAAUAAGAGCCGGUAAACCUUGUGCCAGCCACCGNGGUUAUACAAGGGGCCCAAAGAAACAACAAAACGGCGUAAAAUGUGGCUAAACUAAUCACAUUAAAAAUUAAAGCCAACCUACCUACGAAAUUGUCAUACAUAAAGUAUUAAUAAGCCCAAUACAAAAAUAGCUUUAAACCAUUAACUGACAGACUGAACCCACGAUAGUCAAGGAACAAACUGGGAUUAGAUACCCCACUAUGCUUGACCCUAAACCUUGAUAUUUAAAAUACAAAAAUAUCCGCCAGAAAACUACGAGCAAAACGCUUAAAACUCUAAGGACUUGGCGGUACCUCACACCCACCUAGAGGAGCCUGUUCUAUAAUCGAUACUCCACGCUAAACCUCAUCACUUCUCGCCACCCAGCCUAUAUACCACCGUCUAAGCUUACCUCAUGAGAAUCAAAAAGUUAGCACAACAGUCUAAAUAACUAAAAAGUCAGGUCAAGGUGUAGCCAAUGGAGUGGAAGAAAUGGGCUACAUUUUCUAUAAUAGAAAUCAAACCACAGAAUUGCGCUAUGAAACACAGCCUAAACAAGCAGGAUUUAGAAGUAAACUGAGAACAGAGAGCUCAAUUAAAACCGGACCUGAGGUGCGCACACACCGCCCGUCACCCCCAUCGACAAAAGACAAAAAGGUAAAUAAACAACAACACUACAACAGAUGGGGCAAGUCGUAACAAGGUAAGUAUACCGGAAGGUGUACUUGGAACA
rnacentral:ncRNA from 1 species